AGCAGAUUCAGGUGGAUCAACCAACUCAAACUUGGUAUGGUCACUGUUGGAAGCAGUAAGAACCAUAGCUUGUGACUUGAUGCCCCUCAUGGUUGCUGGCUUUAAGUUACAAAGAACACAGACCUUCCGAUUCUGCAUCUGCUCUAGAGGUAUAUACUUGACAAGUCCGCUAACAACUGUUCUAGUCUCUACUUCCCCCACAUCAAUUUCUUCCACAUAUAGGGAAUCAGCAUCAGGAUGCUUCUGAGCUUUCUUAAUUAAGCCAACACGAAUAUCAAGUCUUGUGAUGGAGAUUUCUGGCUCAACAGUGCUCUUUGAUUUCGUCGCUGCAGAUGGCUUUUUGGUCUGUUGCUUCUUCCCACUACCAUCUGAAACUUUUGUCUUCUUCAGUUGCUCAGCAAUCCUUGCUGCUUCAGCUUCUGCCCUCUCAGCUUGACUUCCAGC
rnacentral:misc_RNA from 1 species